UACGAAGGGGGCUAGCGUUGCUCGGAAUCACUGGGCGUAAAGGGUGCGUAGGCGGGUCUUUUAAGUCAGGGGUGAAAUCCUGGAGCUCAACUCCAGAACUGCCUUUGAUACUGAGGAUCUUGAGUUCGGGAGAGGUGAGUGGAACUGCGAGUGUAGAGGUGAAAUUCGUAGAUAUUCGCAAGAACACCAGUGGCGAAGGCGGCUCACUGGCCCGUAACUGACGCUGAGGCACGAAAGCGUGGGGAGCAAACAGG
rnacentral:rRNA from 1 species